ACUGAGGAGGUUUGCCCCUAGUACGAGAGGAUUGGGGUGGACGACCCUCUGGUGCUCCAGUUAUCACGCUAGUGGUACAGCUGGGUAGCUAAGGUCGGAACGGAUAAGCGCUGAAUGCAUCUAAGCGCGAAGCCUUCUCCAAGACGAGUCAUCCCUACCAGUCCCCUGGAAGACGACCAGGUUGAUAGGCCGGCGGUGUAAGUGCAGCAAUGUAUUCAGCUUACCGGUACUAAUCGGACGAUCGG
rnacentral:rRNA from 14 species